UUUUAACCCCGAUGGUAGCGGCAUCCUUGCUUGACGGGGUUCGGCAAGCAAGAUAUACGGACAGCGGGACUUUGC
rnacentral:sRNA from 1 species